UCAGAUGCUGUCAUGGAUAUUUUGGCCUUG
rnacentral:piRNA from 1 species